rnacentral:sRNA from 1 species
CAAUUAUUGUUGUUCGGUAUGAUUGUAAUGAAAGAAGAAAAAGCUUUUAAGCGAUUAUCGUCUUGAAUGAUUUUAUAGAGCAAGAAUAGUAAUAUAUUGUGCUAAAAGCACGUGGAGGAAUUUUUUUAUGACUAACGGUACAGUUAAAUGGUUUAACGCAGACAAAGGUUUCGGUUUUAUUGAAGUUGAGGGCGGCGACGACGUAUUCGUUCACUUCUCUGCCAUUCAAGGCGAAGGCUUCAAAACAUUGGAUGAAGGUCAAGCAGUUACUUUCGACGUUGAAGAAGGCAACCGCGGACCUCAGGCUGCUAACGUUGAAAAAGCGUAACUAGUCUAACAAAAGGCUUUCCUAUCACAGGAAAGCCUUUUUU